GCCAGCAUUGAGCAGUGGUAUACGUGCUGGGCUAGGAGUCCAGAAGGCCAGGGUUCAAAUCCCUGCUCAGCCA